rnacentral:lncRNA from 1 species
CAGACGUAUGUUCUUUCUAUCUUUCUGUCAAAACGGUUAUUACAAUCACACAAGGCCACUAAUUUUUCUGACAUCAGAAGAUACCUUUAACGAACAAAUUAAGCAAUAACAUCCAAAAUUACAGGGAAAGAUUUCAAAUUUUCAGUUACUUGCAAGGAAUCUCCAAGCCAAACAAGCCACCCCCUUUUUCAAAUGAUUUCAUCACUUUCCCUCUACUCCACACAGAGCCAACAUUAUAAGCAGCCCCAAGAAUGUCAAACACAUUGCCAUAAUCUGCAAAUACUUUGAGAAACAUUUCAUACAAUGGAGAUCAAGGUAGCAGAGAAAGAAGAAGGAAGGAGAAUCGCCACGUCGUCCAGCUGUAAUGAAAGCAACAUGAUCAAUAAGGAAGAAGAAGAAGAAGAAAACGAAAUUACCCUGCCUCUCCUGCAGCCAGAAGUUCUUCCCAACACGGAAAGCAAAAGCAUGG